UUUUCAGUCUCUUCUUUUUAUCCUUUUUGUUGUUUUACCACUGAAAAUGGGAAAGGAAGAAAUAGGUGACGUAGGGAGAUUUUUUGUUGUUGUUUUGUUAAAACCAAAAACAUGCAGAUGUAGAAAAAUGGGGGGGAUGGGAAGGGGGCUUAUUUUUCACCACACAAAAACCUGCCAGGCCUGAUUUACACUUGAGGCUGAACUGGUUUCCAGCCGGCCCAGGGAGUAUAAGCACCAAGGUGGUGAAAAGCUGCCUUUGCCUUCACUGUCUGGGCCUGUGCCAAGCACAGUUAGGUCAAAACAGACAAUCUAGGUUAAUUGUUAGUUCAGUUUCUGAUCACAUGGUUGUCUUUCAACUGCAUGGAACCUUACAAAGAAGUAAAAAAGUGAAAACAAAAAAGUAAGGAGUCACUUGACAGGUUUAAAAAACAAAAAAGAAAACACUCAGCCCCUGAUUAUAUGCAGGCUUUUUAAUCAUAACCCCAGCAAGCAUUACCAGGAAGGCUUUGCAGGUGGGACUCCCUUGGAGGCCUGGCUGCAACAUUUAAAAUGAGGUGCCAACAUCACUAACUUCCUCCCAAGGCAAAGUCCACUUGUCGCAUAGCUGUCUGCAUUGCUGGAGAGGUGCUGCAGGAAGCCUGCCUCACCAUUCCUUGUAUUUUCUUUCCCAUUUUAACACCUUUGCUUACUGAAAGUUAAGUUUUUUACAGAGUAAUUACUUUUCCCCAUGAGGUGGUACAUUUUCCCCUGUCAGGACAUGAAAAGCAAAUGAGUUGGUUUCACCAACACCAGCUCAGUGCUGCCAUGGGCACAUUUCAAACAGCAGGAGAAUGUUUAGAGUUAAACAGAAGACACUGAUAAAGGUUUUAAAGAGUUUUUUGGAUGUUAUAAUAUCAAAAGAAAGUUAUAACAAAAGUUAUAACAGUAAAAGAAAACAAGUAUUACAAAAUGUGUAUUACAAGGUGUAUUCUGUUUAAACAGGCAUAAAAGCCUCUAGAAACAGAAUGUACCUUGGUAGCUGGAAGUGAGAGUUUGCAUUUGUACACACAGAUCCAUAUAACAACAAUAAAUGGUCAACACAGACAGCCCCAGUCCAGCUCAGCUCAUUCUUAAAUCUUUUCUUAAUUGGGUCCAAAGGAUCUGAUCAUGGUCCUAAUGAAGUCAAAGGGAAUUUUGCCAUUUGCUUACAUGGGAGCAGGAUUUACCCAACGGGUCAUAGUUCCAUUGGUUACUACAUCUAUGACAUGGCAGCUCUUUUUUCCCUUUUCUUUCAAUAGGAUAGAGAAACUAAAAUAGAGACAUUCUACUAAUUUUUCUCUUUAAAAAACUUAAUACAUCAAUAGGGGAAAAAAUCAUUCGAGGGGUUUUGUACACCAGUUACUUGAGCUUAGUUCUCAUCCCAGAACCUCACCCCUGAACAAUUUGAAAAUUUCAGUGCAACUUUGGCUACUUCAGACUAUCUUCUAUCAAAGCUUUUGUUCAAAGCUUCAUGCCCAGAACCAUAGGCGACUUUGAUGAUAUAAUAACUUUGUAGAUCUGGGCCAUAGACACAUCGGAAAAGAGUUACCUUUGAACAAUUUGUUCAGAAUCUUCUGUUAUCAACAGUCCCUAUUAAUGGCAUCUGGAUGUUAGAUUCCCUUCUCCAUACAGUUAACAGAUGAUGCAACCCAGCAAGGUUCUGAGAGCAUUCAACCCCAAAUGAAGUGUAUGGAAGAUGUAUUCUGCCCCUUGCCAGUGUGUGGCAUCCAUAUGUAGCAUCCAUUUUUAAAGCAUUGCUUUCAUUUAGUUUGGUGAAUAAAUGAAACAUUAAUGAGCUGUUUUAAAGCAAUUUUUAAGAAAAGUUUUACUGUUUUUUGUGUGAAGCAUUUUGAUAUUUUAAUUUUGUUAAUUGAAGGAGUUAUUAAAAUGUUACCAACUCUUUCAGGGUACAGGAAAGUCUGAGAGAUGUACAAGGCAAAGGCCUGUCCCUUUGCUGUUUUACUGUGGAAUUGACUUCUACAAUGGCACAAUUUGGCUGCUUCUAGUUCAGGGUCCAGUCCUUCCUGACUGAGUCGGUAGUAAAAUUCCCAUUGACUCAACAGGAACAAGGAAAGGCCCUCUAUGAAGAGUUUUAAAGUUUGAAAUGCAGUAUCUUGCAGUUCACGGAGAAUUUCCAAGCUUUGGAAUAUGACCUUUGGCUGCAUCAACCUCAAAUGACCUCCACUCCUUGUGAAUGCCAUAAUGUUAUUGAAAAUGUCAAGAAUAGACAUCAAAGACAGAAAGUUAAAAGUCCUGUCCAUAAAUCUAUUUGGCAAGUCAGCCCACCUUUCUAUAGCUCCAAACACAACUCCACAUCCUCUACUACACUCCUUUACACUUUAGAGUAGCCAUGUAGCUGUUGUUAUUUUUUUUUCUUAUCAAUUAAGCAGAAGUGUUUAUUUUUCAUUUUCUCCUAGGUAAAAAGAUUCAGUGCUGAAUUCCUCAUUGCCUCAGCAUCUCACACUUUUCUCUGCAACCAAUUAGUGUUCAGCUAUAGACUCUUAGGCAACUUUCUGCCCCCUUUUAUUCACUUCCUUUAUUCACUGAAAAGUGGAAUUAGAGUUUUGUUUGAGUUUUAUCCUUUACUCUUUGACACUGGGCCAGGGGACUGACGUAACUGCAAAUAUAGCCACACCUCAAAUCUGUCCACUACAAAACUAGGAGAGCUGAGAUCUGGUAAAUGAACCCUAUACGCAUAAUGGUCCAAGCCAAGAAUUAUGUUGGCUCAAAACUUUGGCACUUGAGUUGAGUUUUGCAGUGUGGGUCUUUCUGUAGUUUCAGGAAUACUAUUAAGAUGAUAAUCCCACAACCCAGUGGGAUGACUAGUUCCCAUUAAAGUCAGAGGGGACAAUUUGGUGAGUAUGGUUGAUAUGGCCCUGCUCACAGAGAACACAUUAGUCAGGAAACAAAUUAUACUGCGUUAGGACGAAGCAUCUCCUGUGUAUGUAUACGUACAGGAAGGUUGCCAUCUGUUUUUCAAAUUUUACUUAAAAACUAGCUAUUGAUGCUUCCUAAUGCUACCAUAUGUAGUGAACGCCAUAAAGGAUAUCAGCAAUAUGGGGGGGCGGGUGGUUCAUGGUGCAGGUUAAUGGUACAUUACCUGUAUUUCUCAGGAACAUGGUAAGCUGACUUAACUCAAAUUAACAAACAAAAAGGCAACCUAUAAAUAAGCAACAUUCUGGCAUUGCACAUGUUUCUUAGCAAGCAGUUUUAGCAAUAUAUGACAAUUUUUUUAACAAGGUGAUAAACAUUGAAUUUUUUUGGUAGCUGUUGAAAAAUGUUGGGAAAACUAUCUUCAGGUAUGUGCCUAACUUCCCAUGCGUAACUGGGUAGCUGAAGCACAAGACAUUUUCCUUGUGAAACCUUUCACAUGGGACAAAUAGAAAUAUCAGCACCGGGAACAUCUCUGUUUAUAGAAAAAGAUUUACUUUAAAUGGUGUGUGGCUUUUCUUUUUCUCUUUGCCACGGAAUAAGGUGGAAUUGUAUCUCUGAGUCUGCACCUGCCCAGUUUAUGCAGGCAAAAUGUGUCUUGAAAUCAGCAGAAAAAGUUGCUGAAGAAAGAUUUCAGGAUUGGGCUACCUGGGAGGGAUAGUGAGCAGUGUCACUUCUCUAGUAAGACUGACAGAAGUGUCCUCUCCUCUCUGAAGAUAAACCUACAAAGUUCAUUUUGCCCUUUAUAAAGCCUUCAAUCUGGCAUGGAUGUGAAAAGAAGAAUAUCUCUUUGUAGCUUACCCAUGUAGGGCGGGGAAAGGCUUAAAGAGUUAGGUUUGGUGUUUACCGGGAUAGUGCUGGUUUUGGCCAGGAAAAAUGGUCCUGUGACAUGGGGACUUUCCUGGAUUAGUAUUUAAUUAUGACCAAUAUAUUACUUUAUAGAUAGUUUUUAAAUAUAGAAUUGCUUCUUCCAGCAUGUACAUUUUCAGAAUGCCUCUUACUGAUGUACACAACAUUUAAGUAUCUAAAAAUGGCUUUCAAAAGAUGCUGGAUUGGAUUUCAUUCAGAUCCUCCUUUUAGCCACUAACAUUAAUAUUCUGCAUUGGAGGCAAAAUAUUGCAAAAAAUAUUGACACUUAACUUCUGUACAUUAAGCCACAGUAUGUCAAAUACCACGUGUGAGUAUCUGAUAUGGUGGUGAGUCUUUGAAAGAUUCAAAUCUAGACUCUGUGUACGCUGUUGCUUGGUGUUUCUGUUGUGUGAAUGUUCCUAGAAGACACUUGAGCAAGCAAAAGAAAUGUACCAAAUAGGGCAUUUUGAAAAGUUAUAUUUGUUUUCAUUUUUCUUUUUUAAUCUAAGCUGGUAUGGUGAAGGAACAGCAGCAAAAUUCUCUCACACCAAAUUCCUCUGACCAAAGGUUUUACAAACAUUAGACCAGGUCCUCAGGUGGUAUUAAUCAGCACAGCUAAGCUGAUUCAGUAGGUUUGUCCUGAUUUAUCCCUGCUGAAACUCUGGUUCAGUUCUUUGACACUUUAGGAGCCACAUACAGCUAUAUCCCCAUGUACCAUAGGAGUCACUAUUAAAAAAAAGAAUGGAACAGUUAUCACCUAGUGGUAUAUGGGAUAAUAAAAAUGUUCCCUGUUUUUAGUACCAGUCUAUGGAAAAAAGAUUGCCUAAUGCUGAGUUUGGAAUGGCUCCUACUGUAGGAGAGAAUUCAGAGGGGGACAAGGGCUGUUGACUAGAGUGAGCGUACCUCUGCAUUUGCCAUGGAGGAGAAGGGAAAUACAAAACCUCAGGGACUGACUGUACAUUCAUGAGAUUUGUUGGCAGGAUCAAGCUCUUUCUUUCUGCACAAGCUGUUGUCUUUAUUAACCUUUACCAAACCUAAUAGAAACGUGCCCAAAGCCUAGUCACCAUUUAAACCUCAAAUAACCCCUCAAGACAGGAUUUAAAUGGGAUUUAACUGGUGCAUAUGGCCUCCUCAGGGGCGUAUCUGACCCACAGAUCUAAGCUAGCACUUGCCUGAAGUAGAUAUUCAUUUUACUGAACAAGUAAAAGUACAGGGAGUCCCAGGAGUCUCAUGCCUUUGGAAAGAAAACUAAGAUGAAAGUGAUGGGAAAGAUUUGCUUUGUUCCUAGUGCAUAGUGUGUAAUUAUCACAAAACUAAGAGGACUCAGGAUAGAGACUGUGGACAUUAACUGUCACCUUUUUUUGGGGUGAUACUGUUCUUAAUGUAGAAAUACUGGACAGCCCAGAAAUGUAGUAUCAGUCUAGUAGAAAAUGAGUGGAAAGCUGCACAGUAUAUUGUACUGAUGUAAGUAGAACUAUCUGCAUAUAAUGUGAUUUUAUUUAUUUUUUUUUGUGUAGAGGAGAAUGAAUAUUCAUGACUGUGGAUAUAACCUUUACUUGUGUAAUGUAUUUUAUUUCUUUUGCCAGUUGGUCAUUUAAAAUAUCGGCAUUCAUUGAUGUCCUCUGACUUUUAAUUGUGUGCAUUUUCUUGUAAACGUUUCAAGAAUUCAAGAGUUAUAAAAAAAUGUUCCCAUUAAAGAAACAGAAAUCUGA